rnacentral:rRNA from 1 species
UACAGAGGUGGCAAGCGUUGUUCGGAAUUACUGGGCGUAAAGGGCGCGUAGGCGGCCUUCUAAGUCAGACGUGAAAUCCCCCGGCUUAACCUGGGAACUGCGUCUGAUACUGGAGGGCUUGAGUGCGGGAGAGGAAUGCGGAAUUCCAGGUGUAGCGGUGAAAUGCGUAGAUAUCGGGAGGAACACCAGUAGCGAAGGCGGCACUCUGGGCCGUGACUGACGCUGAGGAGCGAAAGCGUGGGUAGCAAACAGG